AUGGCCACGUCCAGCUCCCAAUUCCUUUUCCGGAUGCUGCUUCCAGUCCUCCUUGUAGUCAUCCUUGCCGCCGCGGCCAAAGGGCAGCGCCCGGAUUGCCGCGACAAGUGCGGCAACAUCAGCAUCCCCUUCCCGUUCGGCAUCGGCCCCGGCUGCUUCCGUGAGGGCUUCGAGGUCCUCUGCAACCACUCUCGCGCCUUUCUUGCUGGCAACAAAACAUACAAGGGCGACUCCGAGGGCCAGCUCGAGUGGUCGUGGUCGCUGAUGGAGCUUGCGAGCAUAUCGGUCGCCACCAGCGAUGCACGAGCCUACGCCCCGGUCUCGUACCGCUGCAGCAUGAGUGAGAACACGAGCUCCUCCUUGUCCCUGCGUAUGGAUUUCUCUGGAACGCCGUUCGCUGUGUCAUCCAAGCGUAAUGUUCUCCAGGGAGUCGGCUGGAUAGUUGACGCUCGUUUGAGUUACGAACCUUACUUCUCGGCGGCGGCGGACGGGUUCCCUUGUCAAUACCAAUUCGUGUACUACCCGGAGUGUUGA
rnacentral:rRNA from 1 species